UACGGAGGGUGCGCGCGUUAAUCGGAAUUACUGGGCGUAAAGCGCACGUAGGCGGUCGGAUAAGUCGGAUGUGAAAGCCCUGGGCUUAACCUGGGAACUGCAUUCGAUACUGUCUGGCUAGAGUAUGGGAGAGGGAAGCAGAAUUUCCGGUGUAGCGGUGAAAUGCGUAGAUAUCGGAAGGAAUACCAAUGGCGAAGGCAGCUUACUGGCCCAAUACUGACGCUCAGGUACGAAAGCGUGGGGAUCAAACAGG
rnacentral:rRNA from 1 species